rnacentral:rRNA from 1 species
UACAGGGGGUGCGAGCGUUACUCGGAAUUAUUGGGCGUAAAGAGCGGGUAGGCGGGUCGUUAAGUCUGGUGUGAAAGCCCCGGGCCCAAUCCGGGAAGUGCAUCGGAUACUGGCAAACUAGAGUGCAGGAGAGGUGAGCGGAAUUCCAGGUGUAGAGGUGAAAUUCGUAGAUAUCUGGAGGAACAACAGUGGCGAAGGCGGCUCACUGGACUGUAACUGACGCUAAGGCGCGAAAGCGUGGGGAGCGGACAGG